rfam:Picea glauca, whole genome shotgun sequence.
AGGGAUGUAGCUCACAUGGUAGAGUGCUCGCUUUGCAUGCGAGAGGUACGGGGUUCUAUACCCCGCAUCUCCA